rnacentral:antisense_RNA from 1 species
CUCAGCGGCGGCUCGGGCAGGGGAACCGCAAGGUUCGCCAGUAUCCAUUCAACUGGUACGCCAACCCUGUCCGGGCUGCCACCUGA